CAUUUGAAGUGCUGGGUUGAGGCCAGUAGUUUAGUACUGGAAUUUCCUUUUUUAUGCUGAGUAACUCCGUUCCAGCUAUAGUAGAAUUUUCAGAGUGGCCUUUGGUAUGGAGAUAAGCCAAAUAGGUAAACAACAUUUCAUGGACUUCAUUUGAUGUGUUGGUUUGAGGCAAGCACUUUAUUUCCCCCGUCUAAUUUUCAUUGCAAGUACAUUAUUUAUUGGGAGUAAUUAGUUUAUUCAGACCUUCAUGCCUUUGCAAAUCAAAUUUUUCUAGAAUUCACUUGGGUUUCUGGUAUUGUUAUCAUUUCCAUUCCUGCAUAUCAUGUUCGUUCAAUCUGCCACAUUAGAUUUAUAUAUUUUGAGUUGAAAUUCCUGUUCUCC
rnacentral:lncRNA from 1 species